GCCAGUGUGGCAUAGUGGUUGAGGAUUAGACUAUGACUCUGGAGAUCAGGGUUUAAUUCCCUGCUCAGCCA